rnacentral:rRNA from 1 species
GGUUAAGCGACUAAGCGUACACGGUGGAUGCCCUGGCAGUCAGAGGCGAUGAAGGACGUGCUAAUCUGCGAUAAGCGUCGGUAAGGUGAUAUGAACCGUUAUAACCGGCGAUUUCCGAAUGGGGAAACCCAGUGUGAUUCGUCACACUAUCAUUAACUGAAUCCAUAGGUUAAUGAGGCGAACCGGGGGAACUGAAACAUCUAAGUACCCCGAGGAAAAGAAAUCAACCGAGAUUCCCCCAGUAGCGGCGAGCGAACGGGGAGCAGCCCAGAGCCUGAAUCAGUGUGUGUGUUAGUGGAAGCGUCUGGAAAGGCGCGCGAUACAGGGUGACAGCCCCGUACACAAAAAUGCACAUGCUGUGAGCUCGAUGAGUAGGGCGGGACACGUGGUAUCCUGUCUGAAUAUGGGGGGACCAUCCUCCAAGGCUAAAUACUCCUGACUGACCGAUAGUGAACCAGUACCGUGAGGGAAAGGCGAAAAGAACCCCGGCGAGGGGAGUGAAAAAGAACCUGAAACCGUGUACGUACAAGCAGUGGGAGCCUCUUUAUGGGGUGACUGCGUACCUUUUGUAUAAUGGGUCAGCGACUUAUAUUCUGUAGCAAGGUUAACCGAAUAGGGGAGCCGAAGGGAAACCGAGUCUUAACUGGGCGUUAAGUUGCAGGGUAUAGACCCGAAACCCGGUGAUCUAGCCAUGGGCAGGUUGAAGGUUGGGUAACACUAACUGGAGGACCGAACCGACUAAUGUUGAAAAAUUAGCGGAUGACUUGUGGCUGGGGGUGAAAGGCCAAUCAAACCGGGAGAUAGCUGGUUCUCCCCGAAAGCUAUUUAGGUAGCGCCUCGUGAAUUCAUCUCCGGGGGUAGAGCACUGUUUCGGCAAGGGGGUCAUCCCGACUUACCAACCCGAUGCAAACUGCGAAUACCGGAGAAUGUUAUCACGGGAGACACACGGCGGGUGCUAACGUCCGUCGUGAAGAGGGAAACAACCCAGACCGCCAGCUAAGGUCCCAAAGUCAUGGUUAAGUGGGAAACGAUGUGGGAAGGCCCAGACAGCCAGGAUGUUGGCUUAGAAGCAGCCAUCAUUUAAAGAAAGCGUAAUAGCUCACUGGUCGAGUCGGCCUGCGCGGAAGAUGUAACGGGGCUAAACCAUGCACCGAAGCUGCGGCAGCGACGCUUAUGCGUUGUUGGGUAGGGGAGCGUUCUGUAAGCCUGUGAAGGUGUACUGUGAGGUAUGCUGGAGGUAUCAGAAGUGCGAAUGCUGACAUAAGUAACGAUAAAGCGGGUGAAAAGCCCGCUCGCCGGAAGACCAAGGGUUCCUGUCCAACGUUAAUCGGGGCAGGGUGAGUCGACCCCUAAGGCGAGGCCGAAAGGCGUAGUCGAUGGGAAACAGGUUAAUAUUCCUGUACUUGGUGUUACUGCGAAGGGGGGACGGAGAAGGCUAUGUUGGCCGGGCGACGGUUGUCCCGGUUUAAGCGUGUAGGCUGGUUUUCCAGGCAAAUCCGGAAAAUCAAGGCUGAGGCGUGAUGACGAGGCACUACGGUGCUGAAGCAACAAAUGCCCUGCUUCCAGGAAAAGCCUCUAAGCAUCAGGUAACAUCAAAUCGUACCCCAAACCGACACAGGUGGUCAGGUAGAGAAUACCAAGGCGCUUGAGAGAACUCGGGUGAAGGAACUAGGCAAAAUGGUGCCGUAACUUCGGGAGAAGGCACGCUGAUAUGUAGGUGAAGUCCCUCGCGGAUGGAGCUGAAAUCAGUCGAAGAUACCAGCUGGCUGCAACUGUUUAUUAAAAACACAGCACUGUGCAAACACGAAAGUGGACGUAUACGGUGUGACGCCUGCCCGGUGCCGGAAGGUUAAUUGAUGGGGUUAGCGGUAACGCGAAGCUCUUGAUCGAAGCCCCGGUAAACGGCGGCCGUAACUAUAACGGUCCUAAGGUAGCGAAAUUCCUUGUCGGGUAAGUUCCGACCUGCACGAAUGGCGUAAUGAUGGCCAGGCUGUCUCCACCCGAGACUCAGUGAAAUUGAACUCGCUGUGAAGAUGCAGUGUACCCGCGGCAAGACGGAAAGACCCCGUGAACCUUUACUAUAGCUUGACACUGAACAUUGAGCCUUGAUGUGUAGGAUAGGUGGGAGGCUUAGAAGUGUGGACGCCAGUCUGCAUGGAGCCGACCUUGAAAUACCACCCUUUAAUGUUUGAUGUUCUAACGUGGACCCGUAAUCCGGGUUGCGGACAGUGUCUGGUGGGUAGUUUGACUGGGGCGGUCUCCUCCUAAAGAGUAACGGAGGAGCACGAAGGUUGGCUAAUCCUGGUCGGACAUCAGGAGGUUAGUGCAAUGGCAUAAGCCAGCUUGACUGCGAGCGUGACGGCGCGAGCAGGUGCGAAAGCAGGUCAUAGUGAUCCGGUGGUUCUGAAUGGAAGGGCCAUCGCUCAACGGAUAAAAGGUACUCCGGGGAUAACAGGCUGAUACCGCCCAAGAGUUCAUAUCGACGGCGGUGUUUGGCACCUCGAUGUCGGCUCAUCACAUCCUGGGGCUGAAGUAGGUCCCAAGGGUAUGGCUGUUCGCCAUUUAAAGUGGUACGCGAGCUGGGUUUAGAACGUCGUGAGACAGUUCGGUCCCUAUCUGCCGUGGGCGCUGGAGAACUGAGGGGGGCUGCUCCUAGUACGAGAGGACCGGAGUGGACGCAUCACUGGUGUUCGGGUUGUCAUGCCAAUGGCACUGCCCGGUAGCUAAAUGCGGAAGAGAUAAGUGCUGAAAGCAUCUAAGCACGAAACUUGCCCCGAGAUGAGUUCUCCCUGACUCCUUGAGAGUCCUGAAGGAACGUUGAAGACGACGACGUUGAUAGGCCGGGUGUGUAAGCGCAGCGAUGCGUUGAGCUAACCGGUACUAAUGAACCGUGAGGCUUAACCUU